GUCUCGGUACCGCCGGCACUCGGGGCCGCCAGGGCUCGGCCUCGCGGCGGCGACAGCGGCAACACCAUCUCGGCUGCCGCAGGAAGGCGCCCUGGCCCCGCCGGGCCUGCCCUCACCUGCCUGCAGCGCCCGGACCUCGCCUCCCUCAGGCGCGGCAGAAGGAGGUGUGAACGGGCAAAGCCUGCGAAGCCUGGAAGUGAGAGGUUGUAUCUGCAGAGAGGAGAUUUUCCUGGGAUCAAACCUGACAGCUGUUCUCUUCUACUUGUUGGAAAGGAAAAUUGAAGAUCUUGUUGAAAUAUUUUGCAAGGAUCUUUCUGUAACUCUGGCAACACGAUGCUGUAAGACCACUAGUGAUGGUUAAGUAUUUUGCUUCUUUAUUGCUGAAAGGGGCUGAAACAUUUAGACAUGAGUCGGCUGAUCAGGCAAAACAACAUGAUAUCAUAGUAGUCAAUGUAACAGCAAAAGAGGCCUCCAUUGGAGAAAAUGGUAAGAACUGUUUUCACGUUGUGACACAAGUAUUUGUCCUAUAAAUGCAUCAGCUGUUUUGUCUGACUGGUUAAUAGUCAUAUAAUGAAU